rnacentral:rRNA from 1 species
CUCAGUUCGGAUUGUAGGCUGCAACUCGCCUGCAUGAAGCUGGAAUCGCUAGUAAUCGCAAAUCAGCCAUGUUGCGGUGAAUACGUUCCCGGGUCUUGUACUCACCGCCCGUCACACCAUGGGAGUUGUGUUUGCCUUAAGUCAGGAUGCUAAACUAGCUACUGCCCACGGCACACACAGCGACUGGGGUGAAGUCGUAACAAGGUAACCGUAGGUGAACCUGCGGUUGGAUCACCUCCU